rnacentral:rRNA from 1 species
UACGUAGGGGUCGAGCGUUGUCCGGAGUUACUGGGCGUAAAGCGCGUGCAGGUGGCUCAUUACGCCCGGCGUGAAAGCCCCCGGCUCAACCGGGGAGGGUCGUCGGGGACGGGUGAGCUUGAGGGUAGCAGGGGCUGGUAGAAUUCCCGGUGUAGUGGUGAAAUGCGUAGAGAUCGGGAGGAACACCGGUGGCGAAGGCGGGUCUCUGGGCAAUUCCUGACGCUGAGGCGCGAAAGCGUGGGGAGCAAACGGG